UGGGGAUGUACCUCAGUGGUAGAGGGCUUGCCUAGUGUGUAGGAGGUCCUGGGUUUGAUUCCCAGCACCACAA